GCAGGGCGCAGCUCCGCGCCCCCCAGGCGGCUCCCCGGGGGCCGGGGCUCCUUUUCGGGCCCCUUUCAGCUGGGGACGCCCCGGCCUCGGUGCCCGCCCGGCUUUAGGCUGGCUUUGCGCCUGCGAGGCCCGGCCGGGCCGUGGAUGCCGCGGCCCCCUCCUUCCCCUCGCUCCCCCCCUCCCUCCCUCCCCUGGGCCCGGCGCGGAGGCCGGGCCGGUUGCGGGGCGGCGGAGGCCCGGCGGAGGCCGGCCCGGCCCGGCCCGGGGGCAGCGGCCCCGCCGCCGCCUCCUUCCCCCGCGGCCGCCCCCCGGUCCCCGCUCCCCCGCUCACGCUCCACGUCGUGCAGCUUGGCCCGCUCCUCCUCCAGCUUGCCCUUCAGGCUCUCCGCCUCGGUUUUCAGCGACGCCAAGAUAUGCAGACUUGGGCCUUCCCAGCCACUGAAAAGGACCAAUUUCUGAAACACCAAAGGCAGCAAAAAACAGCUCCUCAGCAGCUUCUGCUUGCGGGCAGAGAGCGAACGUGUGCGAUGUGCACAGAGCGGCUCACGUUUCCAGAGAAAGAACAGCAGCAAACAACCUUGCAACUUUUUGUUCCCUGGGAGUUCCUUGAAAACGUCCUCUUCUUUCUUCACAAAUUGUCCUUGAUCUCCACUGAAUAACUUUGCUCAUAUUGACUCUCAUUGUCUCCCUUUAGCUAGAAAAUAGACAAUCAAAUGGCUGUUGUUCAACCUGGAGAUGUUCCAAGAUUAGAAAGGCAGAUAAGAAAAUAAGUGUUUGCAGCUGUUGUUUAGACUCUGGGCACAUCCUGGACACAGUACAGCCUUAGAGAAAGUAAGUCCUUUCCCACACAGGCUUAGCAGCAGUGUCACUGUUUGACUGGGACGCAUGGGCAGACCUGUUGAGCUCUUCACUGUAAAUCUGCGGGCUGAAGUCAGGCCUUUGUCUGGCUUUAUGCUCAAGGUCUGUUUUACAGGAGCUGGGCCACUUAUCUGAAGAGUCAAAUACAGUGAACGCAUUUCCAGUCUUCCCCCUGUCCACAGAAGCUGGUGCGGCAAACCUACCAGUCUGAUGGCCAUGUAGGCAACUCUGGACUUACUUUAAUCCAGUUACAUUCAGUGUCACAAAAGAAAAAGGAGGCAGUAUGUAUAUCUGUGGAGUUCACAUACUACUGGAUAUGCUUUCAUUAGAAAUAAAAACACAACUUACCAGCAAUCGCCUAAAAACCCUAUGAUAGUAAAUGCCUUGUUAACACAAUAUUAGAAUUUACUAUGUUUAACCUGAAAUGGCAGUUCAAUCCGCAGCAGUGGACAAAAUAUAGUUCCUCUUAGUUUGUGCUCUGAUUUCAGAUGAGUUUCAAAACACAUCAGCACAGGCCAAAAGGCUGUGAAAACAUCCUGUACUGUGGACUAUGUGGAAAAGAGUAGUAAGUAACUGAACUCUGUAAUGUUAUGAUCCAUUAAUUGUGCAGUAGUGACUGGUACAUGAAAGUGUUUGUUGCUGUCACUUUGUACUGAUCACCAGCAUUCCCUAGAAAGCCAAUCACUUACAAACUGGCUGCUAUGUCCUCAGAGGCAGUGAGCUUCCAUGUUGCCCAGAACAAGGACAGCUUUGUUUGAAGACAGAUUUUGACUCUUGACUUUUCCCUAUGGGUCAAAGGCAUGAUGACCCUUGGCUUCAAAUAUUUUGAGGCUAUUUUGAGGUAACCAUUCUGAAAGUAGUCUGAUUUCUAUAAAGUGUUACUCUGUGGAGCUGCUAGAGAGGAAUUCAAUCACCAAGAAUUGUGGCAAGAACAGUCAUUACCACAAUCGCAAACCUACCUUCCACAUGUGGCAACUGCACCGCAUUGUGGUGAUAGGAAUACACGCGAGAAAGCUGGUACUGUUCCAUGGUGUGGAAAAUGGAAGGUCUGACUGUGUCACACAUUGAUGUCUAUCUCAAAGGGUAUCUGCCCUUCAUCACUAAUACUGCUCCUUACAUUUUGAAGAAUUAUAAAAACAGAGAAAGAUUUGUAUCUACAUAUUGUUUAAAGGCAUUAACGUCAACAGAAGUACAGAAGAAGGCUGAACAAUGCAAAAAGAGGACUACUUCUAAGGAUCCUGCAAUUUAAAUGAAAUAUAUUUAAUUUCAAUGCCAGAAAUUAAGCUUGGUUUAUCAGUAAGACCAGAUCACAAUAGCUGCAUUCACUCCUACUCAAUGUCAGAAUUGAGGGAGGGAAACAAGCAAAAAAGAAUGGGAAAAAAUGUGUACAUGUGUGCAUACUCAGCAUAUGUUCUGAAAGACACUGCAUUAGAGAUGGACCCAAAACAGGAGAUGAACUCUUUUUUUUUUCUCUUUUUUUUUUUUAAUAAUGUUGUAAUUUAAACAUGGAUCAGAACAGGAAUUUUAUGUCUGACUUUUCUAUGCUAAUGACUGAUAUGAAAAUGCAGACAUGUCAUUGCAGAGAACAAAACUAAAAUCUGCCUUCUGCCUUCAAAAAAAAAAAAAAAGCACCCAAAUUCCCCCCCAGCUAAAGAGCUGUCUGGUGUGCCUGAACAGUAAUGUAAGCAUUCAGCCUGAGUGAACCAAGCCAGCAUGCCUACAAAAGACAAUAUAUGUUUAUUACAACAGCAAUUCUCUUAGACUGGUUGAAUGUAGUUAUUUGUAUCAAUAAAAUAAAAUACAAAAUGUGGGAGGACCUUCCGUUCCAUCUUUCUAUAGUUUUCUUGUGAACUAUUAGGAGAGACUUAUUUCAUGGAAUGAAUAAAGGCCUAAAAAGCAUAAAAGGCUGAAAGAUACUGUAAAACAGAUCCAGAAUAUCAAGACAAUGAAUAGAAUUACCUUGGAAAAAAACCUCUUGUUACAGAAAGCAAAGGCAAGGAAAACUGUAAAGUAACAACAUUAAUCCCAUGGUAGUUUUCCCCUAUGACUCAUGCUUUAGAGUUACUGAUAAAGACCCAAUGCAAUCUUGUCUCCUGUGGUGUAAGAAACUGCUGUCAGCUUUAUGUCCAGCUGAUAACAUCAUCAUUAUAGGACUAUAAUGAAGAAUGAAGUACAGUAAGAAAACAGAAAGAAAUCACAAGCUUAAAUUGUUCCUACUUUUUAAGUCUUGACUUUAGAACAAGGUUUUAACAGCUUAAUUCACUGCAAGCUACCGUGCCAUCCACCAGCUGGAGAAAUGAACCAUGAAAGUCUGCCUGUCUUUAUUUAGUCUCUGAGAAAAUACCAGUGCAUUAGUUUUAUUACACCCUUGUGAGAAAGCCAAGUUUGAAACUGCUGGGGACUUGUAUCAUUUCCAAGGCAUGUGGAGAGGGAGUGAAAGGAAACGUCACUUGAAAUAGAUAUUUGGUAUCGAGCAUCAACUGUGGAACGUCCUCACGAUUGUUUAGCAUAGCCUGCAAUCAUACCAGAAAGGGUACAGUUUCUUAAUGAGGAUUUCAUUUCCUCACCAUGUUUUCCACAGGAAAAAGCCUGUAUGGAUGUGCAAUCUUAGAUGGCCACAACUGUUUGAACCUUGUGAAUCAAGGACAUGACUUCAAGAUUUUGAGGACUCUGUGACACAAACUGUUUUGGGUUGAACUACUAAGUAACAAUCACAGCUUGGAGUUAUGAAAAACAUUGAAGAACUGGACUAACCUCGUAGCUUUUUUCAAGCCCUCAUAAGCAAACCACAAUUCUCCAUCCUCAUUUAAGUGUUCCAAAUCCUCUGUAGACAGUCUAGAAUACAAGGCAGUAUUGUUAGUGUGCAGAGGCACACUGAAGAAGGACGUAGCAGCAGAAAGCCCCAUGUCCUUCUCAGUAACACAAUGGAAGAAUCUUGGCAUUUUCUACUGGCACCUGCUGGAAUGGACUGGCUUCCAACAUAAUACUGUUAAUGGGGAAAGCAGAACCCCCCCCAAAAAAGUUCUCUUAUUAUACUCUGAAGUAUUUUGUAACUGAUAUCAGACUGAACUGAAGCAGAACACAGCUUCCGAGCCUCAGAAACAGAUUCAGUGCACUCUUCAAAUUUCAGAGGACAGCAUUUCUUUGGUACCUAUGGUUCUCUGUCAUAUAUUGGUAAAGAGCUAUUGUAAAACUCUUCCAUAAAAACAGUAAUAUUUUUUUGAUCUGAGAAUGUCAUACCACAUUGCUAAAAAUAUGUUUAAACCUGCAAAGAGUAUAGCAAAGGGGAAAAAAGUUUUUCCCCUAUAUUUUUAACCUAAAAAAUUUAAAAUUCCUGCCUUUCCUUCACAUUGAAUCUUUCAGUUCUGCUGUUUAACAAUUACUUCACAGGAAAUCUGACUGGUAUGGCCAUCAGCUGCCUUGCUAAAUGUCUGAAUACUGAGGAUAUCCAAAAACACCAUCAUUAUCAAGGGCUCCUUUUAAUUUUUGAAGAUACAUGAAAAGACAGGAAACUGCAAAAACAAGAAGUCUUAAGUCUUCAGUAUAAUUUUCUGCAUGUGACUGACCCACAAUCAUGUGCUCUUCUUCAACUAAGUACAUAAAGAACUUCAGUACUAGCAUUACUGUUCAAGAAUACUAACAGAUUCGUAAGUGAUGUGAUUAUAUUUAAAGCAGGAAAAAGAAAGGCAGAGAAAGAAAAAAAUGGAUGUUUCAAAAAAAUUGAGUUCAGAUUCCAUACAUUCUCUGACUUUCUUCUUUUUGUAUAUCAUCGAAGAGUUGCUUCGUGAGGGCAUCCAUUUUCUCUGUCAAAAAAUAUUGCAGUAUUUCAAAGACCUUCAGGCAAUUAAGUGUAUUUAUUAAAACAGUGUUAUCAAAAUGAGAAGUUUUUGUUUUGUUUUGUUUUAAUAAGCAAUCUUUAAUAUAUUUUAAACUAUUUUUAUACACAAAUUAUCUAAAAUGUCAAGAAUUAUAACAGUAAACUUGAUAAAUAAUGCUACAGAACAGUUCUGAAGCACCAAAAUUUUAUUCCUCUAAAGUUUACUUAAUAUCAUGUGUUGCUUGAAUCCUUCAAAGCUAAAUUCUUAAAAACAUUAUAUUAAAGGAAUAAAGGACAAAGAGACACUUUAAAGGAAUGCACAUGCUAUCUCUAAGAUAGGAAUUGCAGUAAGAGCAGAGCUUUUGCUACUCAAAGAACAAAUUUCAUUUAAUUAUUAUACUAAAAGCAUUUGCCCUACACAUUCUAAAGUAGCUUCAAAUAAGAGAAGAUUAGAGCCAACUUUCAAUUUUCUGUAAAUUCAGAAUUUUUAUAUAUAUACAUAUAUAUACACAUUUACAUUUGCUGUAAAACUGACUUUACAACUUUCACCUGCUCCUUUAAAACUCCUGUUAAUUAUUGUACCUUUCAUUUCCUCAGUUUUUUCUUGGAGCUUUAUUUCUAAGGUCUCUUUCUGUUCUCGUAAUUCUUUAUUCUGAUUUUCAAGUUUGAAGAUUUUCUGUACACACAAAAAAUAAGCAAAAGAUACAAUUAAGAAGUAUAUACAAACUUCAUCCUUCCUCAUCACCCCACAAAAACUGAACUUACUUAGCAACACUCAGAAUCAUGCAUUUGAUAAAUCCAGCAAUGAAAAAUUUUUCAACUAAAAUAUAAGCACCAAAAAAAGUAAGGAAAAUGUACCUGUUCACUGUCCUCUUUAUAUUUUUUCCCUUUCUCCUCAUAUGUUCUCUUUUGAGCAGUUAACUUUUCAAGCUCUAAUUCAAGUUUCUGAAUUGUAUCCAAGUCAUUCAUAUGAGUUGAAGCCAGAUUGGUCAAUCGUUCCAACAAGCCAUGAUUUUCUCUACUCUACAUUGAGCAAGACAGAACUCUUCAUGGCUGAAGAGAAUUACUUUCAAGCAACUCGUUGGCAGUACAAUCUAUGCUUUGCUGCUCCUCAGCUGUGGAAGAUGCAUCUGACCUAUUUCUGCUCAUGAUUCCAGUCGCUGAACUCUGUAUGAAAGCUGGAUAUUUGAUACAAACCGCCGAAUAUUCUGAAAUCUGCGCCUGGCAAGCCAUGCACGGGCAUAUUUCUGAAGGAUCACAGCCUUGUGUUCUUCAAGCAUCUUUAAAAGAAAA